GAACGCACAUUGCGCCCUCUGGUAUUCCGGAGGGCAUGCCUGUCCGAGCGUCAUUGCUGCCCUCCAGCCCGGCUGGUGUGUUGGGCCCCGCCCCCCUUCCCGGGGGGGCGGGCCCGAAAGGCAGCGGCGGCACCGCGUCCGGUCCUCGAGCGUAUGGGGCUUUGUCACCCGCUCUUGCAGGCCCGGCCGGCGCCAGCCGACCCCCUCAAUCUAUUUUUUCAGGUUGACCUCGGAUCAGGUAGGGAUACCCGCUGAACUUAAG
rnacentral:misc_RNA from 1 species